UCCGGUUUGUCACCGGCAGUCUCCUAUGAGUCCCCAACUGAAUGAUGGCAACAUAGGACAGGGGUUGCGCUCGUUGCGGGACUUAACCCAACAUCUCACGACACGAGCUGACGACGGCCAUGCAACACCUGUCACCGAGUUCCUUGCGGCACAAUUUCCUUUCGGAAGUCUUCUCGGGAUGUCAAACCUGGGUAAGGUUCUUCGCUUAUCCUCGAAUUAAAGAACACGCUCCACCGCUUGUGCGGGUCCCCGUCAAUUCCUUUAUGUUUUAGUCUUGCGACCGUACUCCACAGGCGGGAUGCUUAACGCGUUAGCUUCGCUACUAACCGGGUCGAUACGGUUAACAGCUAGCAUCCAUCGUUUACGGCGUGGACUAC
rnacentral:misc_RNA from 1 species